GACGAACGCUGGCGGCGUGCUUAACACAUGCAAGUCGAACGGUGAAGCGCCUUCCUUUUUGGUGGGUGUGGAUGAGUGGCGAACGGGUGAGUAACACGUGAGUAACCUGCCCCCUUCUUCUGGAUAACCGCAUGAAAGUGUGGCUAAUACGGGAUAUUCUGGGUCUGUCGCAUGAUGGGUCUGGGAAAGAUAUUGUUUCGGUGGGGGAUGGGCUCGCGGCCUAUCAGCUUGGUGGUGGGGUGAUGGCCUACCAAGGCGGUGACGGGUAGCCGGCCUGAGAGGGUGGCCGGUCACACUGGGACUGAGACACGGCCCAGACUCCUACGGGAGGCAGCAGUGGGGAAUAUUGCACGAUGGGCGCAAGCCUGAUGCAGCGACGCCGCGUGAGGGAUGGAGGCCUUCGGGUUGUGAACCUCUUUCGCCAGUGAAGCAGGCCUGCCUCGUUUGUGGGUGGGUUGACGGUAGCUGGAUAAGAAGCGCCGGCUAACUACGUG
rnacentral:rRNA from 1 species